UACGGAGGGUGCGAGCGUUAAUCGGAAUUACUGGGCGUAAAGGGCGCGUAGGCGGUGCGGUAAGUCACCUGUGAAAUCUCCUGGCUCAACUGGGAGCUUGCAGGCGAAACUGCCGUGCUGGAGUGUGGGAGAGGUGCGUGGAAUUCCUGGUGUAGCGGUGAAAUGCGUAGAUAUCAGGAGGAACACCUGUGGCGAAAGCGGCGCACUGGACCACAACUGACGCUGAUGCGCGAAAGCUAGGGGAGCAAACAGG
rnacentral:rRNA from 1 species